rnacentral:tRNA from 1 species
AUCGAUCACAGAGGUCAUGGCUGCCUCCCGUUCUGCUCCAAGCCGAACCGGCGGGGCGCCGCUUCGUUCCUUCAGGUUCCAUUUCCGGGCCGGUGC